rnacentral:rRNA from 1 species
UACGUGGGGUGCGAGCGUUAAUCGGAAUUACUGGGCGUAAAGCGUGCGCAGGCGGUGAUGUAAGACAGAUGUGAAAUCCCCGGGCUCAACCUGGGAACUGCAUUUGUGACUGCAUCGCUUGAGUGCGGGAGAGGGGGAUGGAAUUCCGCGUGUAGCAGUGAAAUGCGUAGAUAUGCGGAGGAACACCGAUGGCGAAGGCAAUCCCCUGGGCCCGCACUGACGCUCAUGCACGAAAGCGUGGGGAGCAAACAGG